rnacentral:rRNA from 1 species
GGAUUAGAUACCCUGGUAGUCCACGCCGUAAACGAUGUGUGCUAGUUGUCAGGAUCUUUAGGUCUUGGUGACGGAGCGAAAGUAUUAAGCACACCGCCUGGGGAGUACGGCCGCAAGGUUAAAACUCAAAGGAAUUGACGGGGACCCGCACAAGCGGUGGAGCAUGUUGUUUAAUUCGAAGCAACGCGAAGAACCUUACCCACUCUUGACAUCCUGGUCGGGACUUUCAGAGAUGAUUGUCUUCGGUUCGGCCGGACCAGUGACAGGUGCUGCAUGGCUGUCGUCAGCUCGUGUUG